UCCCCCGUGGCGCAAUUGGCUAGCGCGUCUGACUGUUAAGAUAUUGCAUCUGCAAUCAGGAGGUUGGUGGUUCAAGCCCACCCGGAGGAG
rnacentral:tRNA from 1 species